CUUGUUGAAUUUAAGCAACAACAAUGAAGAAUGAAAAAAAAUACCAAUUGUGCUUAUUUUCAUUUUAUCCACUUUCAUUGAGUUAGGGAGAGAAAUAAAGUUGAUAAUUGCUUGUCUUUAACACUCACCAUCCAAAUGCUAGCUUUCAUCCCUUGAAGUGGAUUGGAAGUUACCCUACAAGAAGAUCAAGGGAUGUUCUCCUUUAGUACCCACACAAACUUAGGUCCAUAAUAGUUAGUCUUCAAAAGGUCCUCUAAUUUGAGGUGUGCCUUUCUAAUAUAAAAAAGCACAUUUAUAUGCCCCAAUUUAAUACAAUAAUGACGUUGAACAUUGGAUUUAAGGUUCCUUUUGUUAAAUGGUCUUCUUGCUUAAAAUUUAAGUCUCACCACAUUCCUAUCUCUAUCAAGCAUACAAGAAUAUGUUUUAUGUGAUUAUGUAUGCUUGUUGGCACUCUUUUUAUACAUGAAAGCAUGAUUAGUCCUUUGAGGCUUACCUAUUAGACCUUGUGAUGCCUUCCCUUUUCCCUUAGGGAGAGGAGGCCUAGUGUGUUCUAAACCUCCUUUAGUACUACC
rnacentral:lncRNA from 1 species